rnacentral:rRNA from 1 species
UACGAAGGGAGCUAGCGUUGUUCGGAAUCACUGGGCGUAAAGCGCACGUAGGCGGAUUUGUCAGUCGGGGGUGAAAUCCCGAGGCUCAACCUCGGAACUGCCUCCGAAACAGCAGAUCUCGAGUCCAGGAGAGGUGCGUGGAAUUCCUGGUGUAGAGGUGAAAUUCGUAGAUAUUAGGAAGAACACCAGUGGCGAAGGCGGCGCACUGGGCCGGUACUGACGCUGAGGUGCGAAAGCGUGGGGAGCAAACAGG